CAGUUUUUUUCAGUCGCUAACAAGCGUUUGUCCAAACAGUUGUCACAUUUUCAAAACUCUAAACACAAUUAGCACAGCAUCAGUCUUUUGUGGCCAUACCAUUCACACAUUUCAUGUCGUUUUCACACAAUAUGCAAUCAGUAAACACAUUUCCACAAUGCUUACAUUUCCUUAACAGACAAGUUAUACCUCUCAACAAAAUUAUGGAUUGUUUUUGUAGUAUUCAAGAAUGUUAACACACAACAUCCCACAAUAGCAACAACAAUAUUCCAAACCUUAGAUACAGUAUAAAAACCUCUGCUUCUGCAAUGAUAUCAGUUCAAAAACAAUAUAUCUCAGCUGAUAAUAAACAAACAAUUGAAUAAUUGACACACAGCUGAUUUAUGUUGGGUGAAUUGGGCCAACCACAGCUGAUUCCAGUCUGGCUUAGACUCAGUGGCAGGGGUUAUUUUUUUCUAUUACUAUAAAAAGAGGACUUUGAGGAGUGAUGUUUUUGGAAACAGAAACAGAAAAAGACAAACACUGUAAUGUUUGGACGUGGAAGAGGAAGAGCAAGGGGCCCAGGGAGAAGACCAGCUCCAGUGAGAGAUGCAGGGCCAGGAUGAGGUGCAGUAAGAGAUGCAGUAGGAGGUGCAGUGAGAGGUGCAGUGAGAGGUGCAGUGAGAGGUGCAGGAACAGGAGCAGGCCCAAGGAGAGGGCAAGGUAGAGGUGUAAGAAUGCGUGGUGGUGGCAUUCCAAGGGCUGCAAGAACAGUAGUCAGUGAUGAAAUUCGUGCCACUAUCAUUGACCAUGUAAUCAACCACGGUCUCUCACUAAGAGAGGCUGGUGAAAGAGUGCAACCCAAUUUGAGGCGGUCAAUGGUUGCCGCCAUUAUUCACAUCUUUCAACAAACCAACAGAAUGCAACGUCUUCCACCCUCUGGGGGAAGAGGAAAGCUCCUCAAUAAUGAUCAAGAGCUUGCCAUUGUAGAAAUGGUUGUUGCAAAAAUGCAAUAAAACUGCAUGAAAUUAAAACUAGAAUUGUGGAGGACCAUGAGAUAUUUGGCAAUAUAGAAAGCAUCAGCCUCACAACCAUUACACGUACAUUGUCCAAACACAGAGUGCGGAUGAAGCAGCUCUACACUGUUCCCUUUGAGAGGAACAGUGAGAGAGUCAAGGAGCUACGACGACAAUAUGUCCAGAGAGUUAUGGAAUUGAAGGCCAACCAGGCCCCUCAUGAAUUCAUUUACAUAGAUGAGGCAGGAUUCAAUUUAUCCAAAAGGCGUCGACGUGGACGAAAUAUAAUUGGAAAAAGGGCCA